rnacentral:rRNA from 1 species
ACGGCUCAGUAACACGUGCCUAACCUACCCUCGGGAGGGGGACAACCCCGGGAAACUGGGGCUAAUCCCCCAUAGGGGAAGGGUGCUGGAAGGCCCCUUCCCCCAAAGGGGCCACGUCCGGCACCUGGCGUGGCCCGCCCGAGGAUGGGGGCACGGCCCAUCAUGGUUGUUGGCGGGGUAACGGCCCGCCAAGCCGAAGACGGGUGGGGGCCGUGAGAGCGGGAGCCCCGAGAUGGGCACUGAGACAAGGGCCCAGGCCCUAUGGGGUGCAGCAGGCUCGAAUACUCCGCAAUGCGGGAAACCGCGACGGGGCCACCCCGAGUGCCGUCCGAUGAGGACGGCUUUUCCCCCGUGUAAGGAGCGGGGGGAAUAAGCGGGGGGCAAGUCUGGUGUCAGCCGCCGCGGUAAUACCAGCCCCGCGAGUGGUCGGGGUGUUUACUGGGCCUAAAGCGCCCGUAGCCGGCCCGGUAAGUCACCCCUGAAAUCCUCGGGCUCAACCCGAGGGCUGGGGGUGAUACUGCCGGGCUUGGGGGUGGGAGAGGCCGAGGGUACUCCCGAGGUAGGGGCGAAAUCCGAUAAUCUCGGGAGGACCACCAGUGGCGGAAGCGCUCGGCUGGAACACGCCCGACGGUGAGGGGCGAAAGCUGGGGGAGCAAAGGGGAUUAGAUACCCCUGUAGUCCCAGCUGUAAACGAUGCGGGCUAGCUGUUGGGCGGGCUUAGGGCCCGCCCAGUGGCGUAGGGAAGCCGUUAAGCCCGCCGCCUGGGGAGUACGGCCGCAAGGCUGAAACUUAAAGGAAUUGGCGGGGAAU